rnacentral:rRNA from 1 species
UCCUACGGGACGCAGCAGUGAGGAAUAUUGGUCAAUGGGCGGAAGCCUGAACCAGCCAAGUCGCGUGAGGGAAGAAGGCCCUGCGGGUCGCAGACCUCUUUGGACGGGGAGCAAGGCCGCCGACGUGUCGGCGGAAGGAGAGUACCCGUAGAACAAGCAUCGGCUAACUACGUGCCAGCAGCCGCGGUAAUACGUAGGGGGCGAGCGUUAUCCGGAUUCAUUGGGCGUAAAGCGCGCGUAGGCGGCCGCCUAAGCGGGACCUCUAACCCCGGGGCUCAACCCCGGGCCGGGUCCCGGACUGGGCG